GGUUGCUCUAUUUUUUUGUUUUUUACCCAUGCUUUUACUACAUUCAAAUAAAAUUCUGGCAGUUUAUUUAAACCAGGAAUUGAGUGAAUACCAUCAAUGUUCAUAUGAAAGAUAAGGAAGUUCUUGCCAAAUUUAUUAAAAUAAAAUAAUGGUAUUACUUUCCAGUUGGCAAAAUCUCCAUAUAUUAAUCUUUUAAUCCACCCA
rnacentral:lncRNA from 1 species